rnacentral:rRNA from 1 species
UACGGGGGAGCAAGCGUUGUUCGGAUUUACUGGGCGUAAAGGGCGCGUAGGCGGUCAGCACAAGUCAGUUGUGAAAUCUCCGGGCUUAACUCGGAAAGGUCAACUGAUACUGUGCGACUAGAGUGCAGAAGGGGCAACUGGAAUUCUCGGUGUAGCGGUGAAAUGCGUAGAUAUCGAGAGGAACACCUGCGGCGAAGGCGGGUUGCUGGGCUGACACUGACGCUGAGGCGCGAAAGCCAGGGGAGCAAACGGG